UUAGUGCUGCACUAAAAGAAUUGUUAGUAAUAAAUCCAUGCAGCAAAGGAACUGAAGAAUUGUGGGACUGUAUUUGGGCCGAAAAUGGGUGUGGUAUGGAAACACAGAAAUGGCACGAGUUCAACAUGAAACAUGGAUUAGAAUUUUAGCGGGGGUUCAAGUCAAGUCUGGAAGUGUUACAGGAUGGAAGAGUGAGCCUGUAGUUGAAAAAACACUGAGAGUGCAUUACCAUCAAGGUGUGAGCAAUCCUUUAUAGUUCUGACAGAAGAAUAUGCUCGCAAUCAACUCACGAAUCAUAUGAACAAUAAAUUUUGAUCUGAAAAGGUUUCUUGUUUGGGGCAAGGUCAUGAAUUAAUUUUUACGUUUGGAUACACUACAUGGAAGUUCUACACUUAAUUCAUAUUCCCCAAACGGUAUUUAAAAUUCAGAAAUUGAAGUGCAUAUCUGGGCUCCCUUCCUUUCCGUAGCCCCGUUUCCCCUUGACUCAUAAUAAGCCCGUAGGGGGUCAUGCCCCUACUGUACGGUAUAUAUAAAAAUAACAUAUACCGAGGUUUGGAGGGCUCUGUGACGGAAAGGGGACGUGGGGGUCCGCUUAGUCCGAUGAUGUGUUCACGGAGGGCGACGUGGCUACCCACAAAUCCGAAUUAAAGGUUAAUCGCUCCAGUAAAAAUGUUCCAAAUCUUCAGCUCUUCUUCCGGCUUCUCUUAGUCAAUCACCGGGUAAUCUCCCUGGUGGGUCAACA